rnacentral:ncRNA from 2 species
UCAGGAAGGCUGGGGUGCCGGGCGAUUGGCCCGUGCUGAGAUCAUACCCAUGGAACCUGAUCUGGAUCAUGCCAGCGAAGGGAGCCCGGAGUUCGACAGG